UAUUGAUAAUAAAACAAUAUUGGUGUGUUCCUGUCAGGCCCAGUGGAAGCAGACAUUUUAUAAAGACACCAAAAGAUAUCCCGCACCAGUUUUAUAGCAAUGAGUGAAAUAAAGAGCGAGGAGGAAGGACGCAGAGACGGGGAGGCGUAUCAUGGUGAGGAAACACUACUCUUCAACGGCCACAGGCGGCACAGUUGUCAAAGCCCUGAGUGGGGUCUUGGGCACCUUCCUUGAGGUACUGCAGAGCCCAGCAGUACUGUGCCAGUUAAGGAGAAGUGAUUACCACACAACUCAGUUUUUGUUGGAGCAUACCUCUGACCCAUUUUGU